rnacentral:rRNA from 1 species
UACGUAGGGUCCGAGCGUUAAUCGGAAUUACUGGGCGUAAAGCGUGCGCAGGCGGUUCGCAAAGACAGGUGUGAAAUCCCCGGGCUUAACCUGGGAACUGCGCUUGUAACUAGCGGGCUAGAGUGCGGCAGAGGGGGGUGGAAUCCACGGUGUAGCAGUGAAAUGACGUAGAUAUGUGGAGGAAUACCGAUGGCGAAGGCAG